rnacentral:rRNA from 1 species
GUGGGGAAUAUUGGACAAUGGGCGAAAGCCUGAUCCAGCCAUGCCGCGUGUGUGAAGAAGGUCUUCGGAUUGUAAAGCACUUUAAGUUGGGAGGAAGGGCAGUAAGUUAAUACCUUGCUGUUUUGACGUUACCGACAGAAUAAGCACCGGCUAACUUCGUGCCAGCAGCCGCGGUAAUACGAAGGGUGCAAGCGUUAAUCGGAAUUACUGGGCGUAAAGCGCGCGUAGGUGGUUUUGUAAGUUGGAGGUGAAAUCCCCGGGCUCAACCUGGGAACUGCCUCCAAAACUGCAUGACUAGAGUACGGUAGAGGGUAGUGGAAUGUCCUGUGUAGCGGUGAAAUGCGUAGAUAUAGGAAGGAACACCAGUGGCGAAGGCGACUACCUGGACUGAUACUGACACUGAGGUGCGAAAGCGUGGGGAGCAAACAGGAUUAGAAACCCCAGUAGUCC